rnacentral:rRNA from 1 species
CCAGAAAGGGACGGCUAANUACGUGCCAGCAGCCGCGGUAAUACGUAGNUCCCGAGCGUUGUCCGGAUUUAUUGGGCGUAAAGCGAGCGCAGGCGGUUAGAUAAGUCUGAAGUUAAAGNCAGUGGCUCAACCAUUGUAGGCUUUGGAAACUGUUUAACUNGAGUGCAGAAGGGGAGAGUGGAAUUCCAUGUGUAGCGGUGAAAUGCGUAGAUAUAUGGAGGAACACCGGUGGCGAAAGCGGCUCUCUGGUCUGUAACUGACGCUGAGGCUNGAAAGCGUGGGGAGCGAACAGGAUUAGAUACCCUGGUAGUCCACGCCGUAAACGAUGAGUGCUAGGUGUUAGGUCCUUUCCGGGACUUAGUGCCGCAGCUAACGCAUUAAGCACUCCGCCUGGGGAGUACGACCGCAAGGUUGAAACUCAAAGGAAUUGACGGGGGCCCGCACAAGCGGUGGAGCAUGUGGUUUAAUUCGAAGCAUCGCGAAGAACCUUACCAGGUCUUGACAUCCCGAUGCCCGCUCUAGAGAUAGAGCUUUACUUCGGUACAUCGGUGACAGGUGGUGCAUGGUUGUCGUCAGCUCGUGUCGUGAGAUGUUGGGUCAAGUCCCGCAACGAGCGCAACCCUUAUUGUUAGUUGCCAUCAUUCAGUUGGGCACUCUAGCGAGACUGCCGGUAAUAAACCGGAGGAAGGUGGGGAUGACGUCAAAUCAUCAUGCCCCUUAUGACCUGGGCUACACACGUGCUACAAUGGCUGGUACAACGAGUCGCAAGCCGGUGACGGCAAGCUAAUCUCUGAAAGCCAGUCUCAGUUCGG